CCAACCAUGAAUCAAGUGCAACUAACCGGACACUGUUUCCAAACAUGCAUUGAAAAGCCUUUGAACAACAGCGGUGCCACAAUAAAUGUGGCCAGAGAUACUGGCCGGUCAUACAAUCUGUUUUAGAGAGGUUUGUUUAUUGAAGACUUAGCCUUAGGUAAAUAAAAUAUGCACACGAACGCCGUCUGACAUACGCUGCCUUUAUCUACUGACAUUUGGUCAGUUUAUGUAUUUAUUUUGUGUUUGAAAGGUAAAACUGGUAAAUGUGCUGUCAUUGAAAUGCCGCGAUAAAUUAAAUACUCCGAGAAAGAUGCUAAAUUCUACAUUCUCAUCAACUGUAAGAAGUAAUACAUUAGUAAAGGGGAAAUUCCUGUUAUCACUUUCAGACCCUCCUACAUGUGUGGGCAGCAGCAAGGCUAACAGAGCCAGCAGAGCUGAAGGCUGUUCCGUGUUCUGCUGAGACCUUCAAGUGCAGUGGUUGCUGGCAGAGUUUACACGCUGCGGACGACCGUGUCUUCAGCUGGAGGCCAACCUCCUUCCAGGUGCUCACCAGUUUCUCUGUGGGAUAUAGAAGAGAGUGGGAAAAGGAUAAGCAGUUGGAACAAGGAUGGGUGCAACUAACCAGAGUCCAAAGAGUACUCACCCUUAUAGGUAUAAUGUGACUGGGACUCUGGAUCACAGGCAGGCCUGCAUCCAUGAGCAUCUGGCGAAUCAGCUUGAC